rnacentral:rRNA from 1 species
UGGGGAAUAUUGCACAAUGGGCGCAAGCCUGAUGCAGCCAUGCCGCGUGUAUGAAGAAGGCCUUCGGGUUGUAAAGUACUUUCAGUCGGGAGGAAGGUGGUAAGGUUAAUAACCUUAUCAAUUGACGUUACCGACAGAAGAAGCACCGGCUAACUCCGUGCCAGCAGCCGCGGUAAUACGGAGGGUGCAAGCGUUAAUCGGAAUUACUGGGCGUAAAGCGCACGCAGGCGGUUGAUUGAGUCAGAUGUGAAAUCCCCGGGCUUAACCCGGGAAUUGCAUCUGAUACUGGUCAGCUUGAGUCUCGUAGAGGGGGGUAGAAUUCCAGGUGUAGCGAUGAAAUGCGUAGAGAUCUGGAGGAAUACCGGUGGCGAAGGCGGCCCCCUGGACGAAGACUGACGCUCAGGUGCGAAAGCGUGGGGAGCAAACAGG